UACGUAGGGGGCAAGCGUUGUCCGGAAUCAUUGGGCGUAAAGCGCGUGUAGGCGGUCCGGUAAGUCGGCUGUGAAAGUCCAGGGCUCAACCCUGGGAUGCCGGUCGAUACUGCCGGACUAGAGCUCGGAAGAGGCGAGUGGAAUUCCCGGUGUAGCGGUGAAAUGCGCAGAUAUCAGGAGGAACACCGAUGGCGAAGGCAGGUCUCUGGGCCACUACUGACGCUGAGAAGCGAAAGCGUGGGGAGCGAACAGG
rnacentral:rRNA from 1 species